UAUGGGGUAGUCCGACUGAGUGUUGAAUGAGCCUGAUAUUUGGAAUCAAGGCGAAACAAUGGGUGGUGUGCCUGAUGGAUGGCGUGGAUUUCAUGCAUGUCAAGUCAUUUCCCCCACAUUAGAGAAAUUAACCUAGUAGGUAUCUAGGCGAGGUCUGCAAGCGUUUUUCAUUUCCAAGAAGGGCAAAA